AUUGAACGCUGGCGGCAUGCCUUACACAUGCAAGUCGAACGGUAACAGGCCUUCGGAUGCUGACGAGUGGCGAACGGGUGAGUAAUACAUCGGAACGUGCCCGAUCGUGGGGGAUAACGAAGCGAAAGCUUUGCUAAUACCGCAUACGAUCUACGGAUGAAAGCAGGGGACCGCAAGGCCUUGCGCGAACGGAGCGGCCGAUGGCAGAUUAGGUAGUUGGUGGGAUAAAAGCUUACCAAGCCGACGAUCUGUAGCUGGUCUGAGAGGACGACCAGCCACACUGGGACUGAGACACGGCCCAGACUCCUACGGGAGGCAGCAGUGGGGAAUUUUGGACAAAGGGCGAAAGCCUGAUCCAGUCAUGCCGCGUGCAGGAUGAAGGCCUUCGGGUUGUAAACUGCUUUUGUACGGAACGAAAAGACUCUGGUUAAUACCUGGGGUCCAUGACGGUACCGUAAGAAUAAGCACCGGCUAACUACGUG
rnacentral:rRNA from 1 species